rnacentral:rRNA from 1 species
UACAGAGGUCUCAAGCGUUGUUCGGAUUCAUUGGGCGUAAAGGGCGCGUAGGCGGCGGGGUAAGUCGGGUGUGAAAUCUCAGAACUCAACUCUGAAACUGCACUCGAUACUGCUCUGCUUGAGGACUGGAGAGGAGACUGGAAUUCACGGUGUAGCAGUGAAAUGCGUAGAUAUCGUGAGGAAGACCAGUGGCGAAGGCGGGUCUCUGGACAGUUCCUGACGCUGAGGCGCGAAGGCCAGGGGAGCAAACGGG